GCUGUCCCCGCGCCCCAAGAGCUGGGGCGCGCUGAGCCCCGCGUCCCCGCCGCAGGGCUGGUGGCCCGGGCUGGUCCCCCUUUCCGGAGUCUUGUGGCCCUGUGUGGCGAUGCAGCGACACGACAGCAGAACCCUCGGUGGUUUCUGAGAGCCGGGAGAAGCUGUUCCUGCGCCAAGUGGGACAAACGCAGCUUCCACUGCGAGCUGUGGCUUAGCAGUAAUUUUUAGGAUACAGUGAAUCUAAAAAAAACCCCAGCUUUAUUUUGAAUUUUGGAAGGGGUUUUUUGAAAGUCUCAGAAGAGGAGCGGUAGCUUUUUAAUGAGUGACAUAAUAAUCGCGUUGUCCUUCUGUCCUUAGGGAGGUGCUGAGGACACGGCAGAAUAAAAUGCACGAUUGUAAUCCCAGGCAGCAGUGGCCAGCAGUCUCCCAUCACAAACUGGCUUUGAUGCUCCUGCAGACAAGCAUUUGCUGUUCUGCUGAAGACGUCACAGCGCAAUGGAAAAACCCAGACUUGCCUGGGAGGCUUUGCUGCUUAUUCACAUGUGAAGAGUUUCUUCAGGUGCGAGCGUUUGCUCUGGGUGCCUCUCCCUGCUAUCUGCAGCUUCAUAUUUUUUGCUCCAUUUAGCUAAGGACGGCAAGUUACCCUGAGUCACAGCCCAGAAGUGGAGUAGUCAGAAGAAGUCUGGAAGCAGCAAUGAUCCUGGCCCUGGGAAUACACAGUCCUGGAAGUGGAGCAGCCAGUGCAUGGCCAGGGGGGAGUACACACAGUGUGCAAUUGCCUGAAGAGAGGAGCUGUAAUUGGAUCUUUAUAAUCUCACAAAACCUGCAGUCACUUGGCAGCUCACCUGGACAUUUGCAGGCCUGUGCUUCAGUCCUGGCUUGUUCAAGAUUCUUUCAAUCUGCUCGUGGUU